AACAAACGCUGGCGGCGUGCCUAACACAUGCAAGUCGAACGCGAAAGGGACUUCGGUCCUGAGUAAAGUGGCGCACGGGUGAGUAACGCGUGGGUAAUCUGCCCCUCAGUUGGGAAUAACCCAUCGAAAGGUGGGCUAAUACCGAAUAAUGCUGUAUCGCCUCGGUGAUUCAGCCAAAGACGGCCUCUGCUUGCAAGCUGUCGCUGAGAGAUGAGCCCGCGUACCAUUAGCUUGUUGGUGGGGUAAUGGCCUACCAAGGCGACGAUGGUUAGCUGAUCUGAGAGGAUGAUCAGCCACACUGGAACUGAGACACGGUCCAGACUCCUACGGGAGGCAGCAGUGAGGAAUCUUGCGCAAUGGGGGAAACCCUGACGCAGCAACGCCGCGUGAGUGAGGAAGGCCUUGGUCGUAAAGCUCUGUCGGUGGAAGAAACGCAUGGGUGCUAAUACCAUCUAUGCUUGACGGUACCGCCAAGGAAGCACC
rnacentral:rRNA from 1 species